UCUACACGUUUCUCUGAUGAUCAAAGACGAAAGCGGUGGGCAGCGAUCAGGACUUGCUCCCGUUAGUAGUCGAUGUCGUAGUAUCAUGGACCGGUAGGUUGGCGACGUCAGUCCACGGCCUAAGCAAAAGAGAUACGCGCCCCCACUGGGGGAGUACGAGGCAAAGAUUGAAAAUAAAAGGAAUGACGCGGGGCCGCACCAGCGGCCGAGCAUGUGGUUUAAAUUCGAUGAUACGGACCUAACCUCGUGGAUUAAAAGAGAUGACCGGUGUAGAAACAGUUUCUCCUUCUCGCAGAACACAAGGCUGCAUGGUGGUUUCAGUUUCGCCGUCAAGGUCAGGUUUAUCCACUAACACCCGCAACCCCACCAUUUAGGCCCAGCCGCUCACCCGGGAAUCUAGCGCGAACUGCCGUCUAAACGGAGACGUAGGUGGGGAGACGCAAAUCAUCCACUCCCUCACCUCUUGGGCCACACACGUAUACAAUGGUAGAGACAAUGAUCCACAGUAUGCGAGAAUCGAGCGUAUCCAAUUGUUAUAUCUCAGUUCGGAUCGGAGUCUGCAACUCGAUUCCGUGAAGCUGGAAUCGCUAGUAAUCGGAUAUCAGCCAUGACGCGGUGAAUACGUUCCCGGGCCUUGUCCACACCGCCC
rnacentral:rRNA from 1 species